rfam:Sorghum bicolor cultivar BTx623 chromosome 9, whole genome shotgun sequence.
AUUCCAUGAUGGGGACACUCUAGGAUAUAGUCUUGGUAGCGCUCCCAUGCUUCUAGAACGGAUUCAUCAUGUUGUUGCUGAAAACUUGUAAUCUUCCCACUGUUGGGU